rnacentral:rRNA from 1 species
UACGAAGGGGGCUAGCGUUGUUCGGAAUUACUGGGCGUAAAGCGCGCGCAGGCGGUCUUCCAAGUCAGUGGUGAAAGCCCGGAGCUCAACUCCGGAAUUGCCAUUGAAACUGUUGGACUUGAGUACGAGAGAGGUGAGUGGAAUUCCCAGUGUAGAGGUGAAAUUCGUAGAUAUUGGGAAGAACACCGGUGGCGAAGGCGGCUCACUGGCUCGUUACUGACGCUCAGGCGCGACAGCGUGGGGAUCAAACAGG